rnacentral:rRNA from 1 species
GAUGAACGCUGGCGGCGUGCCUAAUACAUGCAAGUAGAACGCUGAAGGAGGAGCUUGCUCUUCUGGAUGAGUUGCGAACGGGUGAGUAACGCGUAGGUAACCUGCCUGGUAGCGGGGGAUAACUAUUGGAAACGAUAGCUAAUACCGCAUGACAACAGUUAUUGCAUGAUAACUGUUUAAAAGGGGCAACUGCUCCACUACCAGAUGGACCUGCGUUGUAUUAGCUAGUUGGUGAGGUAACGGCUCACCAAGGCGACGAUACAUAGCCGACCUGAGAGGGUGAUCGGCCACACUGGGACUGAGACACGGCCCAGACUCCUACGGGAGGCAGCAGUAGGGAAUCUUCGGCAAUAGACGGAAGUCUGACCGAGCAACGCCGCGUGAGUGAAGAAGGUUUUCGGAUCGUAAAGCUCUGUUGUAAGAGAAGAAUGAGUGUGAGAGUGGAAAGUUCACACUGUGACGGUAUCUUACCAGAAAGGGACGGCUAACUACGUG